GAAAAUAGAGAAAUUUCUUAUGAGGAGCGUUUUCUCUUUAAAGAACUUAUUCAGCAUGAAUCCGAAUUAGUUGAAAUAAUAACCAUCAAAACUCAAAAAAUGGACACUGACUUGUUGGAUAAGAAGAAGAAAGUAGCAUCCGAGGACCUUUAACUAUCUAAAACAAUCGCAUUUGAGUUGUGACUUCUACUUUGUCAUGAUGAUGUUUUGCAACAAAUUUUGGCCAUUUUUCUCAUUUAACAAUUUUUCCCUGCAUUUCAAUUUAUUUGAAUCGGUUUGACAAUGACAGGGUUUAAUUUUUUUUUUUUUAAACUUGCGGUCUUAAGUAAGUCAUAAACAUUUUUAUGGCUAUAAAUUAUACUAUUAAGGGUGAAAUAAGAAGUUUAAAAUUAAAUUAUUUCAAUUGAAAGUCGUCGUCAUCUUUUAAACAAAUUAAAAAGAAAAAUAAUGUCAAAUAAAACUGAACAAAUGGAGAAGUAUGUCUCACUUGCAUUAAAAUCAAGCCUUUUUUUUAUAUAAAUUAAUUUUUUAAAAAGUGUAGCAAAAAGAAAAGAAGAGGACUUAUUUUUUGUUGAUCAUCAAAUUUAAUUAGAUUUUGUAAGUAAGAGGUACAAAUGAGAACUUUUUCAAAAUUAUUAGAAGGUAUAUAAGAAAGUAAUAAAGUGAAAAUAUUCAAGAGUCAUAUUUGGUGUUUAAAUUUAGUUGGAGGAACGGUCAUACGUAAACAUAGUGGUCCAAAUAGCUUAAAAAGCAUAUUAAAAAGGACUACUGGAAAAAGAUUGUCAUCUCUUGUCCCUUGAAGAUUCAUAUAUCAACAUCGCUUGAGAAAGAGGAUUUUUUUUUUUUUUUUUUAAUGUCGUAGUUGUUACAUUUGAUAAUUGAUUUUUAGGUAUGUAUUUGAGUGCAUACUCUAAUUCAAUUAAAGGCGUUUUCUCUUUAGCCGAGGGUCUUUCGAAAACAACCUCUCUAUCUUCCGAGAUAGGGGUAAGGUCUGCGUACACUUUACCCUUUUUAGACCCCACAUUGUGAGAUUUCACUGAGUAUAUUGUUGUUGUUGUACUCUACUUCAAUUAAAGAGAUUUUUUAUUGCAAACAUAUGCAACUAUCAUACAUUGGUAGUGUAAUAUCUCGAACUUUUUUAUCAAGCAUUACAUCCGAUACCUAAAUCUUAUGCUCAAAAGGUCAUAUAAUGCUUAGAGCGGAGAAGUAGUUUGGAACAAGUUGGAAUUUUUAGGGAAAGACCUUAGUGCAUUAAAUUUAAACGGUCACAACUCCCAAUGUAUAAGGAGUUUACCCAUGAAAUAAAGCAUCAAAUUAAAGCCCUUGAACUCUAAUUUUGAAUGCUUCAAACCGUUUGUCAUUUUGAUAGUCCUACAAAACUGUCACAGUUUAUUGGUGGCUGUCAAAGAGCUUACCGAUUCAUGGUGGGCAGCGUCACCCAAGCAUUGAUCCGUUUGAGCGCAAAGCAGUGGGCAUAGCAUCCAGAUUGUAGAUUUCGUGGAGUUGACUAUACGAGGGUUGUUAAGAAGACUUGGACAGUUGAUUUGAGAUUCAGCUCAAAUUUAGAUAAUGUGAUCAGAUGCGGCAUGUGAAAAGUAGUCAACCUCGUGAGGCAUGGUGUCCCGGAGGCAGGAGUAGCUACUUCAUACUUGCAGGUGCUAAUUAACACAUAUUCAUGUAUGAGAGAAGUAGUCAAUCUCCACGAGUGUGAGUGUCCCACAACCAUGGUAGGACAACAAUCCGGCACUUGCAGGUGCUAACAUGCACAUAUUUAGUUUGGGAGAAGUGGCCAACCUCCUCAAGUGUGAGUGUUUCCAGGGCCAGGGUAGGAUAUCUACUCCACAUACCGAUGCCAUGGUUUGUAAAACCUAUUUAGAAUAAAAUGUUUCCAGUUAUACUCGGAUUCAAUGCAUAUGUCAGAUUUCAUGAUUCAAUUUCAGCUUAUAGAUUUCAAUGUUA